CACAACAGCAGUGAAGAGCCACGCACGCUGGGCCAGCUUUUCUCCGAGUUUUGUUUCCAACUUUCAUGAGACUCAGGGGAGACUGAAGAAUGACUGCUGUCUUGGGAGAUUGAGUGGAUAUGCAUGUCACUGACAGGGAGUUCCUGCAGUUAUGAGCUGCUAACUUGCUACAGCUGCUGUGAUCUGUGCUCUCAGACCAGUACCCAGGAUCACCCAAGAGGUUGGAAGGGGGUGAUUGGAAGACUAUCAUCGUUGGAAUUAUGACUUCUGGACCUCACCUCA